UACGUAGGGUGCAGGCGUUAAUCGGAAUUACUGGGCGUAAAGCGCGCGUAGGCGGCUUUUCAAGUCGAUUGUGAAAUCCCCGGGCUUAACCUGGGAACUGCAGUCGAGACUGUCUAGCUAGAGUAUGGGAGAGGGAAGUGGAAUUUCAGGUGUAGCGGUGAAAUGCGUAGAUAUCUGAAGGAACAUCAGUGGCGAAAGCGACUUCCUGGACCAAUACUGACGCUCAUGUGCGAAAGCGUGGGGAGCAAACAGG
rnacentral:rRNA from 1 species